AACGUAGGGGACAAGCGUUAUCCGGAUUUACUGGGCGUAAAGCGCCCGUAGGCGGCCUGACAAGUUGGACGUGAAAGCUCCUGGCUUAACUGGGAGAGGCCGUUCAAAACUGUCAAGCUAGAGUCUGGAAGAGGAGAGCGGAAUUCCCGGUGUAGUGGUGGAAUGCGUAGAGAUCGGGAGGAAUACCGAUGGCGAAGGCAGGUCUCUGGGCUAUAACUGACGCUCAUGCACGAAAGCGUGGGGAGCAAACAGG
rnacentral:rRNA from 1 species